rnacentral:rRNA from 1 species
UAAGGAAUAUUGGUCAAUGGACGCAAGCCUGAACCAGCCAUGCCGCGUGAAGGAUGAAGGUCCUCUGGAUUGUAAACUUCUUUUAUCUGGGACGAAAACGGGAUUUUUAUCUCAAUUGACGGUACCAGAGGAAUAAGCACCGGCUAACUCCGUGCCAGCAGCCGCGGUAAUACGGAGGGUGCAAGCGUUAUCCGGAUUUACUGGGUUUAAAGGGUGCGUAGGUGGGCUUAUAAGUCAGUGGUGAAAUCUCCGAGCUUAACUUGGAAACUGCCGUUGAUACUAUAGGUCUUGAAUUAUCUGGAGGUUCGCGGAAUAUGUCAUGUGGCGGUGAAAUGCUUAGAUAUGACAUAGAACACCAAUUGCGAAGGCAGCUUACUACAUAUAAAUUGACGCUGAGGCACGAAAGCGUGGGGAUCAAACA